rnacentral:rRNA from 3 species
AGACCCGAAACCCGGUGAUCUAGCCAUGGGCAGGUUGAAGGUUGGGUAACACUAACUGGAGGACCGAACCGACUAAUGUUGAAAAAUUAGCGGAUGACCUGUGGCUGGGGGUGAAAGGCCAAUCAAACCGGGAGAUAGCUGGUUCUCCCCGAAAGCUAUUUAGGUAGCGCCUCGUGAAUUCAUCUCCGGGGGUAGAGCACUGUUUCGGCUAGGGGGUCAUCCCGACUUACCAACCCGAUGCAAACUGCGAAUACCGGAGAAUGUUAUCACGGGAGACACACGGCGGGUGCUAACGUCCGUCGUGAAGAGGGAAACAACCCAGACCGCCAGCUAAGGUCCCAAAGUCAUGGUUAAGUGGGAAACGAUGUGGGAAGGCCCAGACAGCCAGGAUGUUGGCUUAGAAGCAGCCAUCAUUUAAAGAAAGCGUAAUAGCUCACUGGUCGAGUCGGCCUGCGCGGAAGAUGUAACGGGGCUAAACCAUGCAC